rnacentral:siRNA from 1 species
CCAUAUGGUCUUAGAUAUUGAU